GAUGAACGCUGGCGGCGUGCCUAAUACAUGCAAGUCGAGCGAACAGACGAGGAGCUUGCUCCUCUGACGUUAGCGGCGGACGGGUGAGUAACACGUGGAUAACCUACCUAUAAGACUGGGAUAACUUCGGGAAACCGGAGCUAAUACCGGAUAAUAUAUUGAACCGCAUGGUUCAAUAGUGAAAGACGGUUUUGCUGUCACUUAUAGAUGGACCCGCGCCGCAUUAGCUAGUUGGUAAGGUAACGGCUUACCAAGGCAACGAUGCGUAGCCGACCUGAGAGGGUGAUCGGCCACACUGGAACUGAGACACGGUCCAGACUCCUACGGGAGGCAGCAGUAGGGAAUCUUCCGCAAUGGGCGAAAGCCUGACGGAGCAACGCCGCGUGAGUGAUGAAGGUCUUCGGAUCGUAAAACUCUGUUAUUAGGGAAGAACAAAUGUGUAAGUAACUAUGCACGUCUUGACGGUAACGAAUCAGAAAGCAACGGCUAACUACGUG
rnacentral:rRNA from 1 species